UGGGGAAUCUUGGACAAUGGGGGCAACCCUGAUCCAGCCAUGCCGCGUGAGUGAUGAAGGCCUUAGGGUCGUAAAGCUCUUUCGCCUGGGAAGAUAAUGACGGUACCCGCAGAAGAAGCCCCGGCUAACACCGUGCCAGCAGCCGCGGUAAUACGGAGGGGGCUAGCGUUGUUCGGAAUUACUGGGCGUAAAGCGCGCGUAGGCGGACUUUCAAGUCAGGGGUGAAAUCCCGAGGCUCAACCUCGGAACUGCCUUUGAUACUGUAAGUCUUGAGUCCGAGAGAGGUGAGUGGAAUUCCUAGUGUAGAGGUGAAAUUCGUAGAUAUUAGGAAGAACACCAGUGGCGAAGGCGGCUCACUGGCUCGGUACUGACGCUGAGGUGCGAAAGCGUGGGGAGCAAACAGGAUUAGAUACCCCCGUAGUCC
rnacentral:rRNA from 1 species